UUAGGAGGGUAGACUUACCUUGCAUAAACAAUUCAUAAAGAAUAAAGCAAAAAUAAUUUGAGGCCAACAGAAUGAGAAACCUACAAGCUCUAAGUAUUAUAUAGACGGGCAUUGGACAUUCAUUGAAUAAAAUCAUCCCAUUGAUUUUUUGUCAAAAAUUGCCAAUUUGACUCCGGGAUGUUAUUAGUUUUAACAAUAAUCAUUCUUAUUGUGCACUAACAUUGAUGCAUAUGUUUUCUACAUCCUAGGACCGAUUAGAGCAUUGCUGCAUUCACUGCUAUAUAAAAAUCAAAAAACUAAUCUUAAACAAAUUGCC
rnacentral:misc_RNA from 1 species